GCCUGUUCUGUGUGAAAUAACACCAAUAACAAGUCAGGUUAAAAACCAUAGAAGCUACAUUAGUGCUAGACAGUGCCUCAUACAAAACAUACCACCAGUUGAAAUGACAUGCCUAAGAUAGGCAUGACUGUAGCCACUGGCAGCAUGUAGCCCGCAGUCAGUAGUGGCAAUUGUCCCUAUCACAUGGACUACAUCUCCAAAUCAGAAUAUGCUGGGUUAGAUGAGCCUUGUGAAAAGAUUAUUGAGCUUGUAAGUGGUUUAAAAAGUUAUGAUACAUUUUUUUUCAAAAAUAUGCAAACCGUUUUUUCCAAAAUAUCUCUUCAUUGUCAUGCCCACCAUUUGUGUAUGCAUUUCAGCAUUUUCAGUAGACUAAAGGUGAAAAUACAACCAUCAGUCCUUGAGUAGUUCUGCUUAAGCUGAUCUAGCCUUCAAUAUGACAUCAGCUGGAGUGCUGUGCUAUGGAUGUGGGCGCAAGUCACUGCUUUUCAAGCAGUUGAGUGUUUUGGGUAGCUCAGCUAUUGUAGAUGUUGUUUAAAACACUAGAAUUUCCAUAGUAUUGACAAUCCCCAUUUUCCUUGAAAAAAUGUUAUGUUUUCAGAAUUUUCUGGUUAUUCAAAAGCCUUUCAUAUUAUUUCUGCCUGUCUAAUUCACUAGAAUUUUCCAUCUUAUGAUUUCAUUACAGUGUUAAAAAUAUAAGAAGUGUUACUUUGACUAUUUCCUGAGAAGGAAAUAAUAGAAUACACAGACUGUAAAAGUCCCAGGAUAAUGUAAAUCACUCCCUUAGCUGGGAAUAAAACCAGCUAGGACUUGGAAGGCAUCUUCUCAUUUGCACUUAGAUAUCUGACCCAGAUUUAAUACCAAAAUACUGUGCUGAAAUCUGGAAAAAUAAGUGAGAGACAACAUUUGUCUGGCUGACAAAACCAUGUUUCUUUAGAAAAGCUCUUUAACUCAAGUUCAGCUAGCUUUGCACAUUUCCACUAACCCGUGGAUGACAUCCGAAACCUAAGUAUGAUGUGAAAGUUAAAGAAGUGUUCCUAAAAUAGAUUAGAUUUAUUGCAGAGGUGGGAAAUGAGCAGUGCUGUCAGCUAAGGGAGGUAUUUAUUUGACUCUUUUUUUUGUUAAAAUGCUACCAUGCACUUGCAGAUUGAGCAGAAACAAUACUGAGUCUUGGAAACCUACUACUUUGAUGAAUGCCAUCUACUGGAAAUGAGCCAGUUGUAUUUGCUUUCUUGGUUGUCAGCAUCUCAACACUCAGCGUGAACUCUACCAUGGCAAACUUGGAGAGAUCACAGAAAACAGAAGCAUCCAUGAGGGAUCAAGAUGAACUAUGAGGAGAAGAGUCAGAAGGCGCCACGGUGUAGAGCUGAGA